CUUUAAUUCUUGCGACAACCCCAUGAGUUUAUUCACAGAUAAUUUCCAGAUAAAUAGACUCAAAUUCUGAAAUCCUAACUCAUUUUCCCCAGAUCACUCAAGCAGUAAUAGUCACAUUCAUGGAAAGAUGAUCAGCUCAGUUCGACCACCCCGAAAGAGGAAAAGAGGCUGGAAUGUAGUCAAAGAAAGCAAGAUCACACAGGGCUGGAAAGUCAGACCGACGAGUUCAAAGUCAACUCCACAGGCAAGAUGCUGCUCGUAUUCAUCUGUUUCGGGGAAGUUCCACCCACACCCUUGAGUGGGUCCUUGGUGCUUGUCUUCAGCACCCCCUCCCUGCCCCC
rnacentral:lncRNA from 1 species